UCAGUAUGUGGGUUGAUGUUU
rnacentral:piRNA from 1 species